rnacentral:lncRNA from 1 species
AUUUCACUAAGGGGCAGGAAAAUAAUCAUCUUGGAGGACUUUCCACUUCAAUCAUUGCACCACAGGAGAGCCUUAGUUUGUGUCUGAAUCAAACCUCUCAGGGAAUCCUUUCAAGGCCAUUUUCUUUUUCUGAGAAAUGGCUGAUCUUUUCUGAAGCACACGCAUAAGCACAAAGCAGAAUUAGC